rnacentral:rRNA from 1 species
AUUGAACGCUGGCGGCAUGCCUUACACAUGCAAGUCGAACGGUAACGGGCCUUCGGGUGCCGACGAGUGGCGCACGGGUGAGUAAUACAUCGGAACGUGCCCGAUCGUGGGGGAUAACGAGGCGAAAGCUUUGCUAAUACCGCAUACGAUCUACGGAUGAAAGCAGGGGACCGCAAGGCCUUGCGCGGACGGAGCGGCCGAUGGCAGAUUAGGUAGUUGGUGGGAUAAAAGCUUACCAAGCCGACGAUCUGUAGCUGGUCUGAGAGGAUGAUCAGCCACACUGGGACUAAGACACGGCCCAGACUCCUACGGGAGGCAGCAGUGGGGAAUUUUGGACAAUGGGCGCAAGCCUGAUCCAGCCAUGCCGCGUGCAGGAUGAAGGCCUUCGGGUUGUAAACUGCUUUUGUACGGAACGAAAAGCCUUCUUUUAAUACAGGAGGGUCAUGACGGUACCGUAAGAAUAAGCACCGGCUAACUACGUG